CGGAUCCCUGAAAACCGGUCUCAGUUCGGAUCGCAGUCUGCAACUCGACUGCGUGAAGGUGGAGUCGCUAGUAAUCGCGGAUCAGCAACGCCGCGGUGAAUGCGUUCCCGGGCCUUGUACACACCGCCCGUCAAGUCAUGAAAGUGGGGCAGCACCCGAAGACGGUGGCCUAACCCUUGUGGGGGGAGCCGUCUAAGGUGAGGCUCGUGAUUGGGACUAAGUCGUAACAAGGUAAC
rnacentral:rRNA from 1 species